rnacentral:piRNA from 1 species
AGCUAAGUCACUGAGAGAGUUGUUG